AGAGUUUGAUCCUGGCUCAGGAUGAACGCUAGCGACAGGCCUAACACAUGCAAGUCGAGGGGCAUCGGGGCGAGGAGCAAUCCUUGCCGCCGGCGACCGGCGCACGGGUGAGUAACGCGUAUGCGACCUGCCCGUUGCAGGGGGAUAAUCGGGAGAAAUCCCGUCUAAUACCGCGUAAUGCCGCGGGGCUGCAUGGCCCUGGGGCCAAAGGAAGCGAUUCCGGCAACGGAUGGGCAUGCGUGACAUUAGCUAGUUGGCGGGGCAACGGCCCACCAAGGCGACGAUGUCUAGGGGUUCUGAGAGGAAGGUCCCCCACACUGGUACUGAGACACGGACCAGACUCCUACGGGAGGCAGCAGUGAGGAAUAUUGGUCAAUGGGCGCGAGCCUGAACCAGCCAAGUCGCGUGAGGGAUGACGGCCCUACGGGUUGUAAACCUCUUUUGUCGGGGAGCAAAUUCCGCCACGCGUGGCGGAGUCGAGAGUACCCGAAGAAAAAGCAUCGGCUAACUCCGUGCCAGCAGCCGCGGUAAUACGGAGGAUGCGAGCGUUAUCCGGAUUUAUUGGGUUUAAAGGGUGCGUAGGCGGACUGUCAAGUC
rnacentral:rRNA from 1 species